CCCCCCCCCCCCCCCCCCCCCCCCCCCCCCCCCCCCCCCCCCCCCCCCCCCCCCCCCCCCCCCCCCCCCCCCCCGGCCGGGCCCCGGGGCCGCCCUGACCGCCGCUCCCCGCAGGUGACGAGCGAGAAGCUGUGCCGGGCCCAGCAGGAGCUGCACUUCCAGGCCGCCACCUACCUGUGCCUGCUCCGCAGCGUCCGGGAGCACGAGGCGCUGCACCGCGAGUACCACGGCCGGGGCGAGCGCUCGCCCCAGGAGGUCGCGGGGCUGGUGGGCUUCAGACUGCCUCAGCAGCCGGGAGGGAAGGGCUGAGGCGGGACUGCUGUGUUCAGUGUUUAUUCAUCAAUAAACAGAAACCCGAGGCCUACUGCAGUGGGCUGCGUUCUCUGUCAGUUUUGGGUCGUGGUAUAAAAGACAUGACUGGAAACAAACAGCCCCCUCUCCCUUUAUCAGGCUUCCCAGAUGCCCUUCCCAUCCCUGUGAGCGUGUGUUGAGGCGGGCACCCUUCCACGGGUUAACAGAGAGGUUGUUUGUAGUGAAAAAACAUCUCAGCCUUUAUUGGUGAACUGCUUGUCUAAGGGGUUGCAGGGGUUCGUGGUUCCCCACGUGUUUCAAAAGCGGUAGGUGAGAGAACUUGUCCAGUGUUUACUGAAUUAUUUUCCAGCCACGUUCUGUAUAUGUGGGAUUUCAUACUCUCCCAAGAACAAAGGUCUCUUCUGUGGAGCAUCUGUGGAUUCUGGCGAGCGCUGCAGUGGCACAAGCCUCUUCCAUCUUGAAAGAUUUUUUGUUUUUUUUUUUCCAUGGCGGUGAGUGAUCAGUAGCGAUUCAGAGAGAUGAAUUCGUAAUGGUUAAAUGUUUCUCAGUGUCCCUGAGAAGUUCACUAUGCAGCUGCAGGCUUCCUGUGCUGCCCUCACCCACUGAAUCUCAGAAAAGCUGAAGGGAACUGACCGUAGCCAGUCACACGAGCUACACAAACGGGACUGCGUUUUCUCACCUUGCAAAGUUUCUUUUUAUAAAAGGUCUUGAGUUGUUGCUGUUCACAGGAGAGUGUUGAAUUGUGUGCAAGAUAUGUAACGUGAAUGACCUUAAAUGGCUAAAAAUGGGAUGUUUGCCUGGGGAGAAGCUUGUAGCGACUCUAGGGAAAGGGUGUGUUUUUUGGGGGUUUUUUACUGCCAGGGAAAACAAAGUGUUCUGUCAGAAAAGCAUUGCAAAAGAGAAUCAGUUUAUCUAAGUCUACUUCUUCCUUCCCCUGUAUUUAAAACCUGGGGAUGAUUUAAUGCCCACAGUAUAGUGGAUAGAAUCCACAAUGGAUCUGUAAAACUGGGGAGAUUUGGGCUGCUGGGCUAAGGUAAGGAGAUGUGAACUACAAGUUUUAGGGUUCUGUUGACCAGAAUUCCAGUUUGCAAGUCAACAGUUAAACGGUGAUUAUUUUGAAAAGCGUUGAUAUGUAAAGGAUGGGAAAGUAUCAGCCUCUUAUCAGCUCAGUAGAUUCAGAGUUGUGGGGUGUCCCCACGCACUGAGAAUGGCUGUGACACACUGCUUGUUCUGUGUUAUUUAAUGAAAACGGAAAUUAAAAAAACAGCGAUGAUUUGACCAGACACAGAUGCUCUGUAAAGAGUAGAAGGUGCUAAAGUUUGUAUAGUGUUGGUGUAGUCACUAAAAUUUCUCAAUUUCCCCUAAGCAUACCAAGCAACCAAAUAGACAGUUCUAACAAGCAUUGGUGUCUCUUCCAUUUACUUCCCCUUCAGUCCAAAGUGAUGACUAACAAAAAUAAAUUUAGAUUUUAAAGAAAAAGCAAAGCAAGGACAUAUUCUAAUUAGCUGAAGGGCACUGGAUAGAGAAUUUCCCUGAACGUGUUACAGAAGAGCAUCUUCUCUGCAAGUCCUUCUAAAAUAGAGAUAAUUGGGAUGAGGUUAUUGUUAGGGGAGGUUGUGUGUUGUCUUUUUCCACUCGUAUGGAGCUAACCUUGAAGACGGCAGCGCUUGUGGACGACUAGAACUGAUCUUUGUGACGGGUUUUGGGCACUAGAUGGCAACACGACCGUUGACAAAGGGAGAGUCAUAAAACGCAGCCGUUAGAAUGGAUAAAAUUCAGGAUAUUUUUUUUUUAAUGGAUUUUGGUUCCUUGUAAGUUGAAUUAUCAGCCACACAUGGCAGUAACCUCA
ensembl:lncRNA